UGCCUACGGGGGGCAGCAGUGGGGAAUAUUGCACAAUGGGCGAAAGCCUGAUGCAGCAACGCCGCGUGAGUGAUGAAGGCCUUCGGGUUGUAAAGCUCUGUCUUUUGGGACGAUAAUGACGGUACCAAAGGAGGAAGCCACGGCUAACUACGUGCCAGCAGCCGCGGUAAUACGUAGGUGGCAAGCGUUGUCCGGAUUUACUGGGCGUAAAGAAUGCGUAGGCGGACAUUUAAGUCAGAUGUGAAAUACCCGGGCUCAACUUGGGUGCUGCAUUUGAAACUGGGUGUCUAGAGUGCGGGAGAGGAAAGUGGAAUUCCUAGUGUAGCGGUGAAAUGCGUAGAGAUUAGGAAGAACACCAGUGGCGAAGGCGACUUUCUGGACCGUAACUGACGCUGAGGCAUGAAAGCGUGGGGAGCAAACAGGAUUAGAUACCCUAGUAGUCU
rnacentral:rRNA from 1 species